UAAUCAUAGACCGGGUAAGCCAAACUUGGUUAGAACGCAGUUCCUUAAUAUCAGCGAAAUGGUUCUUGUCGAUUACCUCUUGAGUUCUCUUAUCUGCGUGGUACUCUCUUU
rnacentral:misc_RNA from 1 species